GGCUCCCGACACAUGACGAAAAACAGCGAAUGUUAAACGAAUCGGCGCCGCCACUGCACUGAGGUUGGAGGUUAAGCGCUACUGCUAUUGCCUCAGCUACUUCCCCAAUAUUGUUGUUGGCUUACUUUGCCACUUUGUUUGGUUAACUGGUCGACUAGGUUGAUGGGGGGACCGAUGCAUACAAGCAUGCAUGCACACACACUCGCAUACUAGGUGCUGCUCCCCACCACAACACUCAUCAUUCCCAACAGGCGGCAAAAGGGAAGCGAGCGGGCUUUUUGGAGCAACUGAAAAGCUGCUGCUGCUGUUGUUGUUGUUGCUGCUGCUGGCACUGCUGCCUUAUUGACGCUUAACGCUUGCCAUUGUAUAGCAACAUUUUUGCAGGCAAUGGCUAAGACACAUUAGCAGAAGUAAAUUCAUUGACGACAGACGCGUACAUUUUGUAUAGCGGACUCGCCGCACAGCCAUCUGUCAUCAGCGCUCAAGCAAUCAGCCGUUCAACUAGAAAUUCAACCAAGUAUUCAAAUACUAAAAAUCCACUUUGCCAAUCGCUGUAAAUGUGUGAUCUGUGCAAUGAGUUAUACCACUUACAAAAGUACUUAACUUUUGGGGAGAUUUUUAUAAAUAAAUUGAACUAUGUGUACGCGCAUACACAAACACAUGCAAUAUGUACAUAAUUCUAAAUAUCGUUUUUAAUGGUCUAGCGAAUAGUUUUCAAGUGGUUUAGAAGUGAUGAAGUGGACAAACAAUUUAUGAAUUGAUGUAGUUAUUGAAAAUUAAUCAAACGCUUUUUUUGUAUGAGUAUGGAUUGCUGGCGUAGCAAAGUACGAUAGUUGAAGUGUAACGCAUACACUCACAUACAUACAGUACAUAUGUAUGUGCGUGCUGUAAUUACUUUUAUGUAUACAGAAGUAUUGAAAAAUUCAAUGAGCAGUUCGUUUACUAACUACAACAAAUUUUUAUUGGAGUGCUUAUGCCAUAAAGCAGUUGAUUUAUUACAGGGCAAGAAAUCCUAGCUGAAGACUGAACGCAAUUCUAGAACUAAUAUUUGGAAUCAUAAAUACUGUUAUGGAUAAAUUAUCGGCAAGACAAGCAGGAACCCGCAGAAAUUAAGGGACAUCGGACUUUCAGCAUUCAAAAGGAGGCAUCCGGCAACACCAUACUGUUGUCAUUCCAAUCUUCUUCUUAUUCGGCUUUAAAAUUGGACAGUGACUGUAUGGACAAAUGCAUUUGUAUUUUAUUUUAAUAAAAAUAAUUCGAAUAUAAGGAUAAAAAUAAGUAAAAACACGCAUGUGAGUGUAUAAUAGUUUGCCAAAAAUUGCCCAAUAUACAUUAUUCUAAAUUCCAGCCUUUUUUUAUUCAAUAUCUCGAAAACUAAGCGAGAUAUCAAAUCAAAAAACAUUUGUCAGUAAGGUUAAUAGAAGCACCUUUCGUUUCAGAAGCUCAAAAGCGAUUUUCUGAAUUCUUUAUUUUUUGUAAUAAAAUAGUGUGGAUGUCCAGUGACCAGUCACUUCUUUUUGCCUUCCUUUCGCGCAUAUUGUAUGCGGGGUAAUAUCAAUUAAUUCUAAAACACUGAAACAGAAUCCAUGUUUUCUGUUAAAAUAACUUCUAUUGGGAUGUGCUAGUGGUAAAAAAUACAUCGAUUACUUUGAUUCUAUGCAUCCAAAGGUACUUUGCUAUUUUUCCGAGACAUCGUUGCAACUAAUUGCUAAAUAUUUUUCAGAUACUAUUUCAAAUAAGGAUUUGCGUUAUUCUCUCUAAGUUUUAUUUUUCUGCACAAUUUAAUGAUUCAAUGUCAUUUUUAAGAAAAAACUAUUGUACAUCGAGUUGAAAAUUUUCGUUUUAUCGAAACAAAUUAUCGAUAUUUAUGUAACACCCUGAAAGUUUUCUGUAUAACCGUGGUCAAGGCGUGAACGUGAGUUCGCUCGAUCCAAGGCGCAUUCAUUAAAGGUGCUGGCACUACAGCAACAACAAUGUUUUGUACGUUUGAUUGGCAAAUUAGAAAGCAAAUAAUGAAUUCGCCUUGUUUAAUUCUGACAGCCACAUGGACACGGCGAAAAAAAAUACAAAUCAGCUGAUUUGCUGAUACCACCUUUAAUAGAUUCGACUUCGCUCGAUCAACAAUAUUUAUUUUGAUUUUGCAAUUCGACUGCUUGAUUGUCAACUUUCAAUCGAAAAUGUAAAUAAUCAAAUAAUGCAACAACAAAGAAGCGGAGCACUUUUAUAUUUUUUCAACCAACGAGCCCUAAGAAAAGAAAAUUCAUUGGAAAAAUAAAACAUUUCACAAAAUAAGUUUUAAAAAAAUAUUUAUAAGUGAAUAUUUAUAUCUAAAAAUAUUUAUUGCUAUUGAAAGCAUAUAAAACGAAAGGUGUUUUCAAAGUAAAAACAUAAAAGUUUAGUCCCAAGGUUGAUAGAAUCAAUUCACCUUGGAUGAGUCGCAUGGAGCAAGAUUAACAUUUACAUGAGUUGUGUCUUUGCUAUUUCAAUUUUGUAAACAAGCAAAUCAGGCAUCAACGAAGAAACAGGGCAUUUGACAUCACCAUCAGCAAGAAAAAAACUGUUACAGUGAAGUCACUUCGAGCGAAUUCGUUACUGUCGUGUGGGAUCAUUGGAGUUGAUACCGUGAGAAACAAACGUUAAAACCAAUACUCUUUAAGACAUGUUGUUUUUGUAAGCACGAACAUAUUCCCUAUAAAUAUUUGGGGAAAGCUGUUGAUAUGACAGCCCUUCUUUGUCGACAACGUGGGGACAUUCCGAGCAUCAUCGGCAAUAGUCUCUCAUUUUUUGUUAAAAUAUAAAGACAUGGUCAUUACAAUAAUGAAGCGCCGGCCCCUCCGUAUAUUAAAAUUCAUAAUUUUUUUAAUAUUCUUACCUACCGGACAUUUGGUCUGGUGACUGAAAUUUACGCUCAUUUUCCGUUUCACUUGCAGCUGGAGAGUCAAAUUCAAUAAAAAUAUGUUUUUUAACUAAGAUUUUAUUGUACAUCAGUCUUGUAAAUAGCAUUUUCUACUAAACAGUUUCGAUACUUACCAGAAAUUGAUUGAUAAAUUCUACCCACUAGACCUAAUGACUCGAGAAUAAUGUUAUAAAAAGCGUGAAACUUAAAAAAUCCUUGAGAAUCAUAUUUACGUAGUUGGUUAUUUUGGCAACCACUAACAUUUCUGUGUCUUGAAUAAGAAAAUAAAUAUAAAUCUAUGGGGAAAAAAUAAAUAGAAACCAUUAUCUUUUUUAUUUAUAUUUAUGAUACGAAAAAACAUUGUGAGAAUGUAAGCGAAUUUAACGCCAAUAGUAUACAAAUAUAUGGCUCACUGUUUUUAUAGCGAAUUUAAAAAGAGUUUAUUCAAGAGUUAUAGAAUAAGAGAUUGCGCCUUCCGAAUUCGCUGUGACGUCGGCUCCGAGAAUAUACAAACAAAAGUGAGGUGAAUUACUUAUUUGUGAAGAGGAAGAAUAAACGAAAGCAAAAGAAACUUCCAGACAUAAUACCAUUCCCACGACACCGGCACGACCCGGUGUCACUUCAUCAGCAUUCCUCGUAUAUGUAUGCGGGAUUUUGACGCUGUUACAUCAAGAACCUAAACAAUCAAAGAGAAGACGGUCCGUUCUUCGUUACCAGAUCAACCCGGAUUGAUAACCGGCCAAGGAUUGUCAUUCCAGCAGCAUUAACCGUAAAUGUAUGUAAAAUGUGCUACUCUAACAACAACAGCAAGAGCACAAAUACAAUAAAGUUUCUAAGCGUGUUAUGAUAUUAUUCUCAACUUCUUUUACAUAUUGAGAAUUUCUUACACAAAAUAAGUAUUUCUCAAUCAUACCUAGGUAGACACACACUGGGGUAUGAGUCGCCCCACAAAAUGUUUGAUAGGCUCUGGCAGCUACCGUUAGCUGUAUUUUAGCAAUGCCGAUUUUACUCGUCGAAUUCAUGCAAUAAGCCCUCAGUAGUUGGUACGCACCGCAUUUAUGCAGAUCUAAAAAAGUGAUUGGGUGAAAUUUAACCGAGGACGUCAGCAGGUUAAGGGGGGAGGCUGGUCUAGAGCGCAAAAAAUGGGCAUAUUUUAUGAAUUUAUUUUGACUCAACAAAGGAAUCAAUCGAAAAUCUGUGAAAUAGGUUUAAUAAUAUAGCUUUCAUAGUACAAAUACAAAAUUUUUCGUCUGAAUUAAUUUCAAAAUGGCCGCUGUCCAGCAGUUCUCCUAAGGCGCCUUUUUUUCUAGUGGGUCCAUUGCCGAAGACGUA